UGGAAUACGCCUCCGCUGCAAAGUGGCGGCAGCAACAGGGCGCUUCCACUUAAAACAGUCGGGCCCCGCCCGCAGGCUUGUCUUUCUCCUGUGACUCGAACAGGAAAGGAGUAGGGGAGGCAGAGCCGGUCGGCGCAGGCUCUCGCCCCGAUGGCACGGGACGUCUCCGGUGGUGCUCUGACCACCAGCGUGCGCAGGGCGAUGGGGUGCAGUUGCCUGGGUGGUUUUCUACCAACGGGAGGCAUCGGGGG
rnacentral:lncRNA from 1 species